AUGCCGUGGUGUCGGGCUUGGCGGAUAUCACUGGUGCCCACGAGCGCCGGCCGGCCAUAUCCUCUCCUCCUCUCUCUCUCUUAUAUCUUCCACAGCGGCUCCAUCCCCUGCACCCCCAUCGAGAUCAGCCACGGGCCUGCCUUCUCCAGUCCUCCUCCUGUUCUCCUAGAAGCACCAUGGAGCUUCAGCGAGCGCUGCUGGGCGUCUGUACGCGGUGACAUCGUACAUGCACACGCCGGCCAAGGAGGAGGCCCUGGUCACCGUCUAGCGAGUCUGGUGGAUUCGCCGACCUCCUUGACCGUGGCCUCCGAUGUGGUCUUCAAUCUUCAUCAUUGUCGGCAAACACGGCGACGUCAGCACGGUCGGCUUGGAUGCCGCUUCGGAGGUCCUUGCAAGGCUCCACACGGACGGCGUACUCAUAGAUUGCAUGAACUCUUCCCCUCCCACGCGGCGCCUGCUGCCACGCGGUUGACUCUGGCAGCGGCAUUGGAGUAUCUCUUAGCCCACGAUGGUGAUUACAUCGUCGUCAUUGGUGGGCUAAGAGUACUGGAUUAG
rnacentral:rRNA from 1 species